rnacentral:rRNA from 1 species
UACGGAGGGUGCAAGCGUUAUCCGGAUUUAUUGGGUUUAAAGGGUCCGUAGGCGGACUAAUAAGUCAGUGGUGAAAGCCCCUUGCUCAACAAGGGAACUGCCAUUGAUACUGUUAGUCUUGAGUACAAGUGAGGUUGGCGGAAUGUGUGGUGUAGCGGUGAAAUGCUUAGAUAUCACACAGAACACCGAUUGCGAAGGCAGCUGGCCAACUUGUAACUGACGCUGAGGGACGAAAGUGUGGGGAUCAAACAGG